rnacentral:miRNA from 1 species
AGAAGAAUCACCUAGAACUCUUGUUAAAAUGCAGAUUCAGAAUCAGGAGGUCUGGGCUGAAGACCAAGAUUUUGUGUUUCUUCCUCCCCCACUCUCUCUAAGAGUCUGCAUUUCUAACAAGCUCCCAGAUGAUGCUGAU